GUAAAUAAGGACAUAGAAGAUUAUGGAUGUUCUAUAUUGGAGGAUUGCAUCAGUUCCUGGACGCAGUUGGAGAGGUCACCAGGGAGCAGUGGAGCCUCUAGGGCUAUGGAUGUCUCUCCUGGCUAGGUCAUUGAGCUGCUUACUAGGCGGUUUCAUAAGAGUUGACCACAUUACCAUGGGUCUGGAAUCACAUAUAGACCACCAGUGCUCCAUUUGGAUGGAUACAGUGAUGCCCUUGUGUGACAGCACAUCAAGCUAAGGCUGGAUCAGAGCAAACCCCCAGAGCAUUCCUGCUGAAAAAAUACUUUGUUCCAUACUGCAUCUCGAUAUCA